ACACCGGCAGCUCAAGUGGUGGCCUAUUUUUAGUUGGGCCUAAAGCGUUCGUAGCCGGCUUGAUAAGUCUCUGGUGAAAUCCCAUAGCUUAACUGUGGGAAUUGCUGGAGAUACUAUUAGGCUUGAGGCCGGGAGAGGUUAGGGGUACUCCCAGGGUAGGGGUGAAAUCCUAUAAUCCUGGGAGGACCACCUGUGGCGAAGGCGCCUAACUGGAACGGACCUGACGGUGAGUAACGAAAGCCAGGGGCGC
rnacentral:rRNA from 1 species